rnacentral:rRNA from 1 species
UACGGAGGAUCCGAGCGUUAUCCGGAUUUAUUGGGUUUAAAGGGUGCGCAGGCGUGAUGUUAAGUCGGCGGUGAAAUUUUGCAGCUCAACUGUAAAAGUGCCUUCGAUACUGGCUUCCUUGAGUGUGGAUGAAGUAGGCGGAAUUUGUGGUGUAGCGGUGAAAUGCUUAGAUAUCACGAGGAACUCCGAUUGCGCAGGCAGCUUACUAAACCACUACUGACGCUCAUGCACGAAGGCGUGGGGAGUCAAACAGGAUUAGAUA